rnacentral:snRNA from 1 species
GGGUGUGAGGGCGAGCUGGCUGCCACGUCUGCCACCCCAACUGAUCGCCAGGGCUGAUUCGUCUGAUCAGGCCGUGUCCCUUCCUCCGUCACCGCUCCGUGCGCACCCUCCGGAGAGCUGCGCACUGUGGAAGAGGACGACCACUCGCCACAGAGGAGGGCCGGUCUGCGCUCACGGGUUCCCGAGUAGCAGCGCUCCCCUGCUGGAACCUCCAAGCCAGCUCUCAGGAGUCGGCAACACGGAGAAGGAAAGGCACGUUCCCAAGGACA